rnacentral:lncRNA from 1 species
CUCAGUUUUUCCAUUUGUACAUUUUUGGAAACCUACAACAACACCUUCAACCAUGGUGUGAAAAGAGAAAAACAGUAUGGAGGAUCUCACAUGUCAUGGGCAACCUCACCACCUUCCCUAGGAAGCAGCUAUUACCAGCAAGGUCCAAUGGAUCAUUGGUUCUCAAGUGAGGCUACUUUUGGUUGUCCCAGCAGUGACACUGAGGGGUGCUACUAGCA